rnacentral:rRNA from 1 species
AGAGUUUGAUCAUGGCUCAGAACGAACGCUGGCGGCAUGCCUAACACAUGCAAGUCGAACGAGACCUUCGGGUCUAGUGGCGCACGGGUGCGUAACGCGUGGGAAUCUGCCCUUGGGUUCGGGAUAACAGUUGGAAACGACUGCUAAUACCGGAUGAUGACUUCGGUCCAAAGAUUUAUCGCCCAGGGAUGAGCCCGCGUAGGAUUAGCUAGUUGGUGAGGUAAAGGCUCACCAAGGCGACGAUCCUUAGCUGGUCUGAGAGGAUGAUCAGCCACACUGGGACUGAGACACGGCCCAGACUCCUACGGGAGGCAGCAGUGGGGAAUAUUGGACAAUGGGCGAAAGCCUGAUCCAGCAAUGCCGCGUGAGUGAUGAAGGCCUUAGGGUUGUAAAGCUCUUUUACCCGGGAUGAUAAUGACAGUACCGGGAGAAUAAGCCCCGGCUAACUCCGUGCCAGCAGCCGCGGUAAUAC